AUGAGAUGAAACAAUUAUUUUGAUGGAGUUUAUAAAAUAUUAGGAUCUAUUAUAUUCUUUUUUCUUUAACUGUCAAUUUUUUGACGUAUCUCAUAUAUUAUAGUAUUACAAUGAAGUGCUCUAAUUUAUCUGUUAAAAAAGGUUUCAUCACUGUUUCCUAUAGUAAUUCUCAAUAAUGUUUUAAAUAGGAUAUAUUAAAUAGGAUAUAUUAUCUAAAGUAAACAGGCUUUUAAGCCUUCAAUUUGCCCCAAUUGACAUGAAGUGCGCAUUUCGAAAAGCCAGUGAACGCAGCGUCAUACGGGCACCCCCACCUCACUCCCCCGGAAACCCCCGGAUGAACCCGCAGGAAAACGCGCGGCUGAAGAACUCUUGGACAGCUGGAAGGCCGCAGGAUCACGGUGAAGGCCUCUUCUGUAUAGAGGACGGGGGCGGAAACGUCACGUGGUCUCCGCAGAGAAUCCUGGAGAUGGGAGAUGUGGAGCAGGUAAGUUUGUGGCAGCACCAGAGUCCUCCAACAAGUUUUCUGGCAAAGUAAAUGAGGAAGGAUCGCAGUCUGCCAUCGUGGAGUUUUGCUGAAAGGCGUGAACACGUUCCAUCCAUGCAUCCAUCUUCUUCCAUUCAUCAGGAACCAGGUUGUGAGGGCAGCAGUCUAAGCAAAGAUGCCCACACUUCCCUCUCCUCCAGCUCCUCUUGGGGGACCCCGGGGCCAGCUGAGAGACGUAGUCUCCCCAGCGUGUCCUGGGUCUCCCUUAGGGCCUCUGCCCUUAUUCCUGUUGGAGUUUUUUUCUAACCCCUUAUGUUUCAAAAGUUUGCAAACAUACAUUUUGGUUGAAAAUGAUGAGGAUCCGAGGAUGAAAUCAAGAAGGGACAACAUCAGGGAAAGGGACUGAACCGACUGAACAGCUUCCUCUCUUCAGCAGACACAUGUUCCCAGUACAUAUGUGUCAAAAACUGACAUCCUCGCCGUUCAGGCCGGUGGCUGGAACAAGCGGAAGUCAGAAAAGCUGGAGCAGACGUGACCAGAAUGAUACCUCCAGGACCAAUCAAAAUGACCCAGAGAAAAACACUGAAGGGCUUUGUCUGAGCAUCAGGAAAACAAGAAUCAGCUGUCAUCAACAUAUGGUUAUGGUGCCAUGGUGAAGAACUAAAGGCUCUAUGAUGUCAUGCUGCUGACCAGACUGUGGUUGGUGAAGUCCAGCAGCACUGCAGGUCCUUGAAGUGUGGUUGAAGAGCUCUCCUCCCAGCUUUUGGAAGGCAGCACAGAGUCAUUGAUGGAGAGAGGACGUGAAGGACUAAUUGUCUGCUGAGGAGGAGACUUUCUGCAGUUCAAGCCCCAGCUCCACCCCUAAAAAAAGGCUUAUAUAAAGGAAAACUUCAUUUCAACUUUGUACCAAUAAUGACUUUUAAUUGAAAUGAGAGAUUUUUUUUCUGAACUGCACCAAUGAAGGGUUUUUCAACCUAAAUUUCAACAAUUACAUUAUUUUUUACCUCCGUUUAAGUUUCUACAACACUAGCUAAACAUUUCAGUGCUCACACCUGUGCUGAAGACACUUCUCAUUUUAACUCAAACGUUUGGCCUUUGAUUUGUAUGUCCAACACCUUAGAAUGAAACACUGACCUAUUAAACUCAUAUAAUGUGCUAUGCAUCUCCAAAUCCUUUGUCAGGGUACAGACUACAUUUUAAUUGUAGCAAGACUGAAGUAAAAUGUAACAAAAUGACAAUGAGUUAUCUUAAAUUAGGGGUAAAUGACAUGAGAAAUUAAGAAUAUUAGAAGUGUGGAGUGAUAUGUGUAUCAGUAUGUUAGCUACAGGAAGGGUGCUGUCCUUGACACGUCCCUUUACUCAGACAGGAUGACAGGUAGGGAAGGGGGUAGCCGAUGAUCUGCUCCAGUAUCUUCAGCACAGAAGCUUCUGCUGCUCUUCUUCAGUUUGAUCUGAGAGCCAGACCAUGAUGCAGUUGGACUGGCUGAGCGGUAGGUUGCCAGCAGCUUCAGACGUGCUGCUGUGCCUUGUUGAUAACGUCCUGGAUGUUAGGAAACCAAGUUAGAUCAGCUGAGAUGGGGAUGCCCAGGAAAGGGAAGCUGUGAACCCUCCUCUAUGCCUACUAAAGUCCAAGAUGACUUUUAUGGUCUUUUAUUUGCCGAUCAGCCUUACACUAUACAGUUUCCGCACUUGUCUACAAAGUUCACCUCCGUGACCUUUAAUAAGUCUUUGUUAUUGGCAAGUUAAUUACUUAUAUCCAAGACAUGGAGAUGUGGGUCCAGUAUGAGCAGGAUUUGGGAAAUGGCAGUUGCCAAGAACUCACAUGAAGUUUCAAGGUUUUUCCCUUUAUUUGGAGGAAAAAAAGUUUUUGUCCUUUGUUUGUUGUGCAGAAUUGCAAACCUAGAAAGAAAUCAAGUUGAAAGAAUUGAUAUAAAUGUAUUUGCCCUUCUUUUGACCCUUCUACAUCAUGAAUAUUUGGUGGCUGUUGCUUGGCGACUGUGAGAUCUCUCCAUAGGAUUGACAUGGGCUGGGCCUCUCCAUGACCUUGAUAUGAUUGUUCUUCAGCCAUUCCUUGGUUGCCUUGGCUGUAGGUUCUAGGUCACUAACCUGUUGGAAGACCCAUCCAUGACUGAUUUGAAGGGUCCUGGCUUAAGGAGGGUAGGAAGUUCUCACUCAGGAUUUUCCAUUAAUGGCUCCAUCAACGUGGUGACGUAGCUCUGUGCAGAAAAAUAGCCACAAAGCAUAAUGCUUCCACCUCCAUGUUUGACAGUGGGGAAGCUGUUCUUGGGGUCAUAGGUAGCAAUUCUCUUCCUCCAAACCCAAUGGUUGAGUUGAUGCCAAAGAGCUCAGUUUUGAGCCAAACAUUCCAUUAUGCAGAAUAAACUGAUAAAGCAAACCCUAUUUUUCAGUGUGUGAUUUUCAUUUUUUCAUAAAUCUUAGGACAAUUUAGAUGAUAAAAGUAAUAAAUAUAUGAAAACAGUAUAAUACAGUAAAUAUGUAAAUAUUUGAUGUGAUGAACAAUGCUUAUCUGAUUUAGACCCAACAUGAAAUAUUUUUUGACACACACACAUCAAGUUGUGUUAUUUAAUGCUCGUAAUUUAGACACAAAUGAUAGAAAUGUUAGGUUUAUAUGCCAAAGAUAUGCCAUGUGAAAAUUUUAGUGCAAAUACGCAUGCGUGCGCGCCGUGCACAUAAAGCCACCCCACCCCCACGUAUCCGCGCGCCGGUCGGUGGGUGCUGGGCGUCAAUAAAGGUAAUCUGGUUGUCGCGCGUUCUGCAUCUCUGCACGAGCUAAAGAAGUCUCAAAGGUAAGAAAUGUGAACACAAGAGGCAGUAAUGAAAAUACUUUAUGAUCAUCUGAAUGUAUUUUCAUCUGACAAAUGAAUGCAGCUGUUAUCACUGUGACGGAAGAGCGGUGCUGAAAAAUACGGCCUCCAUCGAGAGACUGAACGUAACACGACUGCAGCUGACUCUGCCACGAGGCUCGACAACGUCUUCCAUCAACUGUGAUCGCUGUGGCCGCCAAAACAUCCAAAUGUAAGGCGGGCUACAAAGAUUUCAGGCCAAAAGAGAACGCCUCACAUGUGAUGAAGUGUCUGUAUUGUUGCCCUAAGUUCCCUGAUCAAGCACAAACGUGUUUUGCCUGGAUGAAGGCCUUGUAUCAGGUUGGAAAAACCAGCAGCCCUCCAGUGCUUCAGCCGUCCAACCAUCAACCGUUUCAGACAUCCAUCCUCCCACCACUUCAACCACCAAUCUCUCCACCACUUCAGCCCCACAGCCGUCCACCAGUGUCCCAACUCCUGACAUUUUACUAUCCUGGUACAAUCUUAUUUUUCUGCACAGUUAGCAAAAAUGAUAUGUUUUUUAGAUAUUCCUGUGUUUUUUUAUCCUCAACAAAUGUUUCUCCAAAGAAAUGUGAAAAUACAGAAUUAUUCAUUUGGUGGUUAUUUUUACACUUUUCCUCAAAUCUUUAAUAAGAAAGAAAUAAUUCAGUUCAAGUUUACUUUAGCUUUUCUUUUUAAUGGGCAUUACAGUUGAUAUAAAACAUAUAACAUGCAAUUAAAAUGCUUUGUAGUUAAAAACAUUUUACACACUAUUAAAAGAUUCUAUAAAAUAUUAUUUAAAAA